AGCUUUGUGCAGUGGCAGUAUCGUAGCCAAUGAGGUUUAUCCGAGGCGCAAUUGUUGCUAUUUGAAAAAUCAGACUUGGGUUUGAACCUUGGCUCUGCCUUUUCCUACCCAUGUGACUCGGAGCCGGUCUUUUAGUCUCUGCGGUGA